rnacentral:rRNA from 1 species
UACGUAGGUGGCAAGCGUUGUCCGGAAUUAUUGGGCGUAAAGCGCGCGCAGGCGGCCUCUUAAGUCUGAUGUGAAAGCCCCCGGCUCAACCGGGGGAGGGCCAUUGGAAACUGGGAGGCUUGAGUAUAGGAGAGAAGAGUGGAAUUCCACGUGUAGCGGUGAAAUGCGUAGAGAUGUGGAGGAACACCAGUGGCGAAGGCGACUCUUUGGCCUAUAACUGACGCUGAGGCGCGAAAGCGUGGGGAGCAAACAGG